GAGGGUAUAGUUCAGUGGUAGAGUGUCUGCUUAGCAUGCAUGAGGUCCUGGGUUCAAUCCCCAGUACCUCUG
rnacentral:tRNA from 1 species